GAGACACCCUUAUGGGGCAGGACUUGCUUCAGUGGGGCUUUGGUGCUCACUGAGUCUGCCUCCUGAAUGUGUCUCU
rfam:Myotis lucifugus cont2.37090, whole genome shotgun sequence.